UGGGGAAUUUUGGACAAUGGGCGAAAGCCUGAUCCAGCAAUGCCGCGUGUGUGAAGAAGGCCUUCGGGUUGUAAAGCACUUUUGUCCGGAAAGAAAUCCGCCUGGCUAAUACCCGGGCGGGAUGACGGUACCGGAAGAAUAAGCACCGGCUAACUACGUGCCAGCAGCCGCGGUAAUACGUAGGGUGCGAGCGUUAAUCGGAAUUACUGGGCGUAAAGCGUGCGCAGGCGGUUAUGCAAGACAGGUGUGAAAUCCCCGGGCUCAACCUGGGAACUGCACUUGUGACUGCAUGACUAGAGUGCGUCAGAGGGAGGUGGAAUUCCGCGUGUAGCAGUGAAAUGCGUAGAGAUGCGGAGGAACACCGAUGGCGAAGGCAGCCUCCUGGGAUGACACUGACGCUCAUGCACGAAAGCGUGGGGAGCAAACA
rnacentral:rRNA from 1 species